CUCCCUAACCCUUAUGUGAACCUACCUAUUGUUGCUUCGGCGGACUCGCCCCAGCCGGACGCGGACUGGACCAGCGGCCGCCGGGGACCCUCAAACUCUUGUAUUAUCAGCAUCUUCUGAAUACGCCGCAAGGCAAAACAAAUAAAUCAAAACUUUCAACAACGGAUCUCUUGGCUCUGGCAUCGAUGAAGAACGCAGCGAAAUGCGAUAAGUAAUGUGAAUUGCAGAAUCCAGUGAAUCAUCGAAUCUUUGAACGCACAUUGCGCCCGCCAGCAUUCUGGCGGGCAUGCCUGUUCGAGCGUCAUUUCAACCCUCGACCUCCCUUUGGGGAAGUCGGCGUUGGGGACCGGCAGCACACCGCCGGCCCUGAAAUAGAGUGGCGGCCCGUCCGCGGCGACCUCUGCGUAGUAAUCCAACUCGCACCGGAACCCCGACGCGGCCACGCCGUAAAACACCCAACUUCUGAACGUUGACCUCGAAUCAGGUAGGACUACCCGCUGAACUUAAGCAUAUCAAUAAGCGGAGGAA
rnacentral:rRNA from 1 species